GUGCUUGCUUCAGCAGCACAUAUACUAAAAUUGGAAUGAUACAGAGAAGAUUAGUAUGGCCCCUGCUCAAGGAUGACAUGCAAAUUCAUGAAGCAUUCCAUAUUUUU
rnacentral:snRNA from 1 species